rnacentral:snRNA from 1 species
GGAAGUGAGGGCAGUCUGGCUGAGUUAUCUGUCACCCCAUUGAUCGUCAGGGUUGGUUCAGCUGAUCUGGCUGGCUAGGCAAGUGUCCCCUUCCUUCCUCACCUGCCAUGUAUGAACCUCCCGAAACUGCUGGACACUCAGUUGAAAAGGAUGACCUUCCUCGAAUAGAGGACCGGUCUUUGGUCAAGGGUAUAUGAGUAGCUGCGCUCCCUUGCUAGAACCUCCAAACAAGCUCUCAUAAAAAAUAAUACUUUAUGUGGCUGGAGAGAUGGCUUAGUGGUUAAGGCGUUUGCCUGCAAAACCAAAGGACCCUGGUUU